rnacentral:rRNA from 1 species
AACGAACGCUGGCGGCAUGCCUAACACAUGCAAGUCGAACGAGACCUUCGGGUCUAGUGGCGCACGGGUGCGUAACGCGUGGGAAUCUGCCCUUGGGUGCGGAUUAACAGUUAGAAAUGACUGCUAAUACCGCAUAAUGACUCCGGCCCAAAGAUUUAUCACCCAGGGAUGAGCCCGCGUCGGAUUAGCUAGUUGGUAGGGUAAAAGCCUACCAAGGCAACGAUCCGUAGCUGGUCUGAGAGAAUGAUCAGCCACACUGGGACUGAGACACGGCCCAGACUCCUACGGGAGGAAGCAGUGGGGAAUAUUGGACAAUGGGCGAAAGCCUGAUCCAGCAAUGCCGCGUGAGUGAUGAAGGCCUUAGGGUUGUAAAGCUCUUUUACCCGGGAUGAUAAUGACAGUACCGGGAGAAUAAGCCCCGGCUAACUCCGUGCCAGCAGCCGCGGUAAUAC